rnacentral:lncRNA from 1 species
UGAGAGUGUGUUGUCAAUCUGCCAUGUUAAAAAACAAGUUGCCAGUGAAAUCUUUAUGGAAAGGGGAAUUUUUGAGCCAAAAAUCUUUCUUAUGAGCACAACAUUUCAACCUUGACUGCUGUUGGGGAUUCAAAUAGAGGGAAUAUGCCAGCUUGCUUUGGAAGCUGUACAUGUGCACGCCUUUGAUUGUCAAGGUCAGCCUGUAUUGACGAUCCUCAGCCCUGCAGGGGAACAUUUCUGUGCCCCACCCCCUUUUGACCUGUUGCGUUUGGAGAUGGGUGAGAGUCCGGUUCUGCCUCCCCACCCCCCAUGCCCUCCUAUUUGGGCUUCCUUGCUCUUGUGCCUUUCCCUUUUCCCUUCCUUCCACUGGUCGUCCCCUCACUCCCUGGGCCUCUGGACUCAGCCUCCCAACUCCCGAUGGGCU